rnacentral:lncRNA from 1 species
UUUUGAUCCUGGAUACUGCAAGAAUCAAAAGGGCCUUUUCUUUCUUUCAACAAUGCUAACACUGACAUGAAUGCAGAUGGAUAAUUUAUUACCUUGAAUGGAAAAGAACAUUCAGUUACACAAGAUCUAGCAGCACCCAGGAUAAAAAAUGAAUGGUGUCAGGUUCCGAAGAUUUUUGGUUCCAUCUGUCCAUGCAAAAUCCCUUUCUUUUAAGAACACAUGACUAAGGAGCAUGACAAUAUCAACUUUUAUGCAAGUAGAAGCAGCACACAUGGUUCACACUACACUAUGAUAUCAGUAUGCAUACAUUUUGUGGAUACCAAGAUUAAUAAAGUAUAGUGAUAAAAAGAGGAAUGUAAUCAUUGCACAUUAUUUAUUGUUAAUUUAAUAUCUUCGAAGUCCCACAGAAAAAUAGAUAAUUUGUAAAGAUCAUCAUGCAUUUGUUCCGAAUCUUGAACUAUUUGAGUUCAUAAAUUUAAAAGCAUUUUCUCAGGGGCCUGAACUAAGAAAUAUGAUAGAACUGCAAAUUGACUACAUUGACGGAUUCACAACAUAUACAUAGCAACAACUCUUAUAGAUCCUGCCUAAUACAAGCAGCAACAAUAUUUUGGAGAGGGUAUUGAAGAUAAAUUAAAUGUAUCUGGUUCCCAACCUUUAUGUGGGGUUACAUGAUGCAUUCAACGACCCUAAGAAAAAUUCACUGGAUUGGGUUUAGGAAACACCUGUACCUAUGUUUGGCUUCCUCUCUUUUGCGGGAUCAUGCUCCAAGGGACAGUAGUGUAGAUCAGAGUACAAAUUAGCUUUGUGUUCAUAACCAUAAUUUUAAAAUUAAGCCACACAUCUUUAGUACUGGGGCCAAGUUAGUGGGACCACAAUCUAGAAAUACACAAAACCAAAAUGCUAACUUAACAUGAGAAAGAAAAAUAAAUACCUACGAAGAUGAUUUGAUCAUUGAUUAUUUUCAAGGAAGAACACCGAAAGAAAGAAUCAUAUAAUGAACCUUAGAAUAGGGUUGAUCUUUCUCUUCGGAACCUAGCAGAGCUUCAUAUCAACUCGGUACUCCGCAAUGUAGCUAUGCUAGCAGUUUACACUGCAUUAAAAGACAGGGCCGGCCCUGGGGCAUGGGCAGGGGGGCGACGGCCCAGGGCCCAGCCCAGGGAGGGGCCCAUGAUGUAGUGCACAUAUAUAAUAUAGCCGAGCAAAAAUAGGUGAGAAAAAAAUUAUGAGAGAAGAAAAACGAGAUGAGAUAGGCCCAUCAAAUAGCAGGUAGCGAUUAGCGAAGCGUCACGCACGCUGCAUGGCAGGGCCGCUCGUUUCGAUUGUGAAACAAAUCAAUCGAAGAUCUCGCGGACGCCUCGCUCGUCUAUUCGUCCUCUCGUCGCUGUGGUCGCCUCGGUCACCACUGUGCGCGUCGCCCGCCGUGCGGCAAUCCAGCAGCCGCAGCCCGCAGCAGUACGUAUACGUAUGUAUGUGAGCAGUGAGCGCAGCCCACAGAAGUACGUAUACGUAUCCAUGCAUAACUCUCUGUACCAUGUUCCUGAUCCAUCCCCGCAAACCCCAAUUUCAGUAAUUUCUUUUUUUAGAACGUAUUCAACUAUUCAUCCAUGAUCCAUCCUCUAAUUUCAGUGUUCACGAAGUUCCAAAUUUUAAUGUAUAGUUUUCGAAUUCAAUCUUUUAUAGUAUGUAUUCAACCAUCCUUUUUUUUGUCAUUCUAUGCACAUGUCUAGGGUCCCAAUCAUUCAAAUCAUCCGAUGUAUAAAUUUUUAAUUCCUUGAAUAAUUUUUUCUUCAUAAUAUUAGGACAUUAGCCCGCCAUAUUGCCUAAGAAGCAUUUGUCAGUUGCUCAAACAAGGAGAAAAAAGAUAGAAAGGGAUCUGAAGAUUCAAUAACUGAAGGGUACUUAAGUAUUAUUGUUGUCGAUGGAGUCAGUUGAAUUUGGUUCUUAUUUGAUGUAAUCAUAUCAUGUUACUUUCAAUUUUCUAUCUUUUUAGUAUUUCUGUCGUAAUAUGGCAUUGUCCAACAAUUAUUAUGUUUAAGUUUAUGUACCACGCACGCGCAUACAUAUAUAUGAUCUUAGGACAUAGGGGCACAUGGCAUCGAGUUCGCCUAGGGCCUCCCGAAACACAGGGCCGGCCCUGUUAAAAGAUAUUUCUAUUCGGGAUCUAGCAGAGCUUCAUAUACAAUGGAAGGAAUUGCUCUCCGGAUUAUUUUUCACUUAAUAGAAGUAUAUUGCACUACUGACAACAAAAAGGAAGACAUAUGCAUUGAAAUCAAUGUUAACUGAAGUGAAUCAGAAAUAUAACUUUCACAUGUAUAUAAAAUGUAAAAACAACAGCCCUCGGUUCUAGAACUCUGUUCUAGUCAAAUCGAUCCGACGACCGAAAGUGCCUGAGAUCUGAAGAGUCAGGGAACUAGCCGCGGGUCUUAUUUCUGGAUGGAUCACCAGAUCAAUAUGUUCUUACGAGGGUGAAAUUUCCCUGGUUACCACUCAUCAGAAAUGACCAUCCAAGGACAAAGCCAUUAAAAUAAGAACGUGAUCAAAACAGCUCAAAGAAACAAGGAUCCAAAUUAAUACCCACAAGUGCCUCGAUUGCUUGAGAGCAUGCCUAUAUCAGCCAUGACUUAUCAUCAUAGCCCUGGUCAUGUCCCAUACAGUAGCCGAAGCAGAGCAGGGGAAGAUGGAGCUCACCGAGGGAGGUUGUAGCCGAGGCAGUACUCAGUGGGUGUCGGGGUUGCGCCUGAACGCCGUCCAGCCGGCGAGGAACUACGUCAGAGUUGCACCUUGCACCAUCCCGCCGAAAAGCACGAAUGCCAUUGGCACCGAAGCGGCCAAGGAGGCGAGGAGGCGAUGUGGCACGUCUAGGAGCACCAUCAGGGGUGGAGAUGACCGGGGCCUAGUCAGUUCUCUUUUAGUUGCAAUCAAGGAUAAGAUUUGUUAGAACAUUCUUGUGGUCAAAACUUAUCAUCAUGCAAGCAAGCCACCGAUUUAGUAUCUUGUUGUGAAAAUUGCUGAUUAAAUGACUGCCUCUUUUGUUUGGCGCGAUUUAGUAUCUUGUUUUUGCCUAAUUAGUAAGGCACCGAUUCAAAAAAAAACUAAAAGGAAUCUCUAAAAAGACUUGUAUUUAGGAAUGAAGCGAGUGCAUGAUAACAAUGCCAUCGUGAUAUUUCACCCGUGAUAUACUUCUUUCACCCAAAUUUAGGGUCCUCGUGCUGCUCCUGGGCCGCCGCCCCCUUGACGGCAUCUGGGAGAGACACGCAAACCACAACUUUGGCAAACAAUGAGCAACCUGAUAUGAAUAACCAUUUUAAAAUAUAAUAGAACCAAAACAGUACACCUGAAUCCACUAGAACUACCAAGUGAAUCUUAGUAGAAUCCACUAAUUAAAGCUAUAAAGCCAUUUAGUAAAAUCCACUGGAACUACAAGUGAAUUUUAGCACAUUCAAAGUUGUUUGAUUAGGAAGGUUGAAAUAUAAAGGUAUCACAUACAUCACAUGAAUCAUACUAUCGAGCAUCGACCACAUCACUUGCAAUUCCUCUAUGCUUUUGUAUGGCCAAAUGAUAGCACUCCAGUCAUUUUGAUUAGAAAGUUUCUUAAAGGAAGGACGUUAUCCAUGAAAAAAAGAGUCCAACUAAAGGUUUAGAUAAUUUUUCAAAAAAUGAAUGAAUAGACUGGCUAUUUGCCCAAUUACAAAUAAAACCAGGCUUUUCUCUACAUAAAAAAUAUGUAUUUACGAAAAGACCCAUCAUAUUCAAUACUUGACAGCAAAUUACAAGCAUCAAUUAUAGAACCGUUCUUGGCUAGUAACUAUAAUCUUAACAAGCAUGAAUUUUUCAAUCUGAACAUAAGUACACAAGGCCUAAACAGUGUAUCUUUAGUUCUAUGCUAGUUUCCCAUAUUUAUUCCAUGGUUUAAUAAAUCUUAAGCACAUGGAAUGUUCAACACAGGCACAUGAGCUGCAGGGUACCACAGGAAUAUGAUCAGGCACGUGAUAGUUAUUCCACAGGAAUACCUGAUGGACAAAAUUAUUAUAGAAAGUUACUAACCAACUAAAUGUAGCAGUGCGCCUAUCAAAGUUAAAUGAGGACAGAAGAAGCACGGCUAAAAGAGAAGAGUCAAUUAGCAAGCCAGAGGACCUAAUUAGCUCAUGUAGCAAGCCUUGAACAUUCUAAGGCAGAACACCUGCUUCAUAAUUAUGCAAGGAGAACAAACCAUAACCAGCCAUGGCCAUGGCAUGAUGUCCAUGAUGAACCCAGCACGACCACCAUAGCCAUGGCUCGUUGACCGUGGGCACAUAUGUUUCUAAAACUAUUGGAGAGUUUCAAAUAAUACAACAAAGGAGCCUUUAUCUUCAGGAAUAACAGAACAUGACAGAUAAAUGCAUGUGUUUAGGAAACAAUAGUAGACUUAUCCCAUAUCCAACAAUUGCAGUUCUGGUUCUUGUGUUAGACUUAUAUGGGAUCGGGUAAUAAAAUGAGGAAACAACGUUAGGGGACUACAAACCUUGCUCGUUUUGCUCCGACAGCUCCUUAAUCUUCCCUUCCAGCAUGGCGAGCUGCUCGGUGUUGUCGCCGCGGGCAGGAGGCUGCACCUCUACUACGUCUUCAAGCAUCGCCAGCCUGCCGCAGACCCACUGGACCUCCUAUCCAGGCCUUGCACCUGCAGCACAAAGAUAGGUUGGACUCAGUAUAAUUCAACCACAACACAUAGUAGCGCAUGGCAAUCUUGUCGAUGCAAAUGAGCUAAACACAUUUACGUUUAUCCAGUGUUGCAGCAAAAAUAAGUAUUAUUGAUACAUGGCCAAUGGCAAAAGAAAGAUGGAAAAGAUUAAGUGGCAGGCAAUUAAAUCAAGGGAAGAUGCAAAUUUGGUAUCUAAUAGGAUAAGAACAAAGAAUCUUAGAAGAAAAUAUUAAACAUGAUCCAGACGAUAUAGAAGUAAAUCAUCCUCCCAAAUUGCUAUCUCA